UACGUAGGGGGCAAGCGUUAUCCGGAUUUACUGGGUGUAAAGGGAGCGUAGACGGCAGCGCAAGUCUGAAGUGAAAUCCCAUGGCUUAACCAUGGAACUGCUUUGGAAACUGUGCAGCUGGAGUGCAGGAGAGGUAAGCGGAAUUCCUAGUGUAGCGGUGAAAUGCGUAGAUAUUAGGAGGAACACCAGUGGCGAAGGCAGCAUACCGGCGCCCGACUGACGCUGAGGCACGAAAGCGUGGGGAUCGAACAGG
rnacentral:rRNA from 1 species